AUGCAUGGCACGGCAGGAGACCCAGAAGCAGGGCAGCCAAAUCUCCUUGAGGGCAUUUGCUACGCAAGCCAACAAGGAAACGGAGCCGUAGACCAGUCAGUCGGACCUGCAGGGAGGAGAAGGUGGGGGGCUGCGACGACCUUGCUGAGCGCUGUCAGCGUGCGGAAGUCGAAGGGGACUGCUCUGUUAGCCAGGAGGCUGGCAGGUCGUCCUGGACAUUGGAGGGAAACGGAAGCCAAGAAGGAAAAUGUGUUAGCGGGAGGGCAACUCUCCCACCUGCAGUAUCUGGAAGAAACGACAGUCAGCUUGGCCUCAGGCUGGCCUGACUUCCCACUCAGCCGGUUUUUUAGAGACUUGAAAGCCAGCAAGAACUCCUUCUUUGCAGAAGUAGCUGCCAGGGUUCCAAGGUAAGUCGAAUAACAUCCCUUUCCUAAGUGGACCAGGUGCUGGUUUCACAAGUGGACGUGUAUCCUCUGGACUAAACUGUGUGUUCCUAAUGUGCGCAAGGAGGGUUUGUGAGGAGAGGGAGCAAGUCUAGGUUGGUGACCAUGGGCAGCCUCUCAGAGGUGGUGGCAUUUGAGCUGAGACUUGAAUGGACAUUCAACCAUAAGCAAAUCUGGGGAAACAGAGUUCCAGAGGAAACAACAAAGGAAAAGGCUCACGUGGGAAUGAAUUUGGCCAUUUCUAGGAAAGGUGGAAGCCUGGGAGGUCUUUUUCUGGGAUAAAUUCCCACAACGGGGUGACAGGAACAAAGGUUAUGAUAAAUUUUUACAAGAUUUUAUUUAUUUGAGAGAAAGAGACAAAGAGCAGGGAGAGGGGCAGGAGAGGGAGAGAGAGAAUCUUAAGCAGGUUCCACACCCAGCACAGAGCCCCAUGCAGGGCUUGAUCUCACGACCCUGAGACCAUGACCCAAGAGUUGGGUGCUCAACUGACUGAGCCACCCAGGCUUCUCAGUUAUAGACUGUUUUAUGACUUUUGAUACACACACAUACAUAUAUAUGGCUGGCUUCUUUUCCAAAUGUAUAUAGGAUCAUGUAUCCAAUUGCUAACAGUUGUUGUUCCUGAGGCGUGGGAUUCAGAGGCUGACAUGAGGAGAAAAGGGGCUUUGAAGUUUCCAUCUUCUGCAUGAUUAGAAUUUUGGCUAUAUAUUUUGGUAUAUAUCAUUUGUAAAACUUAAAGUGACCUAAUGUUUUAGAAUAUUGGUAACAAGCAGGGUGGUAGAUAUAGUGUUCUAUUAUUCUAAAUAUCAUAUAUGUAUUAUGUGAAUUCCAUUAUUAGUAAGAAAUAUUUCAUAGCAAAAAUUUGAUUUUUAAAAAGUGUAUUAAUUUAGUAUUAAUUUAUACACCACCAGGUAGCUCUAAAUGUGACAGUUUCAC
rnacentral:lncRNA from 1 species